ACCGCUUGAAACUCAAAGGACUUGGCGGUGCUUCACACCCCCCUAGAGGAGCCUGUCCCAUAAUCGAUAAACCCCGAUCCACCCCACCCUCUCUUGCUCAGCCUAUAUACCGCCAUCUUCAGCGAACCCUGAUAAAGGUUAACAAAGUGAGCGUAAGUGCCCCUUUUCGCAAAAACGUUAGGUCAAGGUGUAGCCUAUGAGAUGGAAA
rnacentral:rRNA from 1 species